AAAAAAAAAGAGAGAGAGAGAGAGAGAGAGAAAAAAUUUCCUCGCAACAACACCCGCGAACGCUUCCAGCUGCAGUUUGCGAGAGAGAAAGAGAGAGAAGGGAGGAAAGAGCCCUGCGUGCAGAAGGCGCAGAGCCCCUCGCUCUGAUGCAGCAGCGGCAGCGGAGGCUCUGCAGGGGAUAACGCGGAGCGGGCGGAGCGCGGCGCGGCGCGGCGGAGGAACGGACGGACGGACGGACGGGCGGACGGACGGACGGACGGACGGACAGCAAAGCUGGCUCACCCGGCGGCAGCGCAGAGCAGCGCCCUCGCUCCCGGAGCGCACCCUUUCUGGAGGACUGUCAGCAGCAAAAGGAUGGCAUCAGAACUGGCAAUGAGCGGCUCCGACCUGCCCACCAGUCCCCUGGCCAUGGAAUAUGUUAAUGACUUCGAUCUGAUGAAGUUUGAAGUGAAAAAGGAGCCGGUGGAGACCGAUCGCAUUAUCAGCCAGUGCGGCCGCUUGAUCGCCGGGGGAUCGCUCUCUUCCACCCCGAUGAGCACGCCCUGCAGCUCGGUUCCCCCGUCCCCCAGCUUCUCGGCGCCCAGCCCCGGCUCCGGCACCGACCAGAAGACCCACCUGGAAGACUACUACUGGAUGACGGGCUACCCGCAGCAGCUCAACCCCGAGGCGCUGGGCUUCAGCCCCGAGGACGCGGUGGAGGCGCUGAUCAACAGCAGCCACCACCCGCUGCCCGGCGCCUUCGAUGGCUAUGCUAGAGGGCAGCAGCUGGCCGCGGCCGCCGGCGGCUCGGUGCCGGCCGAGGAGAUGGGCUCGGCGGCCGCCGUGGUGUCGGCGGUGAUCGCCGCGGCGGCGGCGCAGGGCGGCGCGCCCCACUACCACCACCACCACCACCACCCGCACCACGGCGGCGGCGGCGGCGGCCUGCACUUCGACGACCGCUUCUCCGACGAGCAGCUGGUCACCAUGUCGGUGCGGGAGCUGAACCGGCAGCUGCGGGGCGUCAGCAAGGAAGAGGUGAUCCGGCUGAAGCAGAAGAGGAGGACCCUCAAAAACAGGGGCUAUGCCCAGUCCUGCCGCUUCAAGAGGGUCCAGCAGCGGCACGUCCUGGAGUCGGAGAAGAACCAGCUGCUGCAGCAAGUGGAGCACCUAAAGCAGGAGAUCUCCAGGCUGGUCCGGGAGAGGGACGCCUACAAGGAAAAGUACGAGAAGCUGGUCAGCAAUGGCUUCCGAGAAAACGGAUCCAGCAGCGACAACCCCUCCUCUCCAGAGUUUUUCAUCGCGUAGUGCAAAGUCCCCUCUCGCAGAGCAGCGCUGGCGGAGCGGUGAGGCUGGUUGAGGAGCUGACCUCGGUGAUAGGAAGGAGGGAGAUGGGCAAGGAUAGCGCUGUGCAGACCCAACGUUGCCACCCAUUAGACACCAGAUUUUUGCUACAGGCCUUAGAGAGCCCAGGGUGAGCCAAAGAGAAAGGAUUCAAAGGGCUUGCUCCAAGUUUUGCAGCCGGGCCCAGAGGUCAACGUGCUGGAAGCGCUGCGCUCCCCGAGCCCCUCUGCGCUCAGCUCCGUCUGUCAUCCCCGUGUCAUCCCUAUGUCAUCCCCAUGCCAGAGGGCGUUUGGGCUCCUCAGGCUGCUCAGCCCCUGCUGGCACAGGGCAGCCUUCCCGAGAGCCUCCACGGAGGCUGUGCUGGGCCGCUCCCACCCUCUGGAUGAGGUCUGUGCUACAGCCUCUCCGAAGAAUGCAGCAGCCCCUCCGGGACGAUGGCUCUAUCUCAAGACCCAGGCUCGGAAACACAGUUCUGUUUUAAUUUUUCCCCCUUUUCAUCCCCCCGCUUCCUACUGUUGGUCCAACUUCUUCCCAGCUUUACCACCAGAAUGAGAGCACCUAUUGGGUUCCACUGCCCCAGCGCCCGCCCUGCCCCGUGCAGCCCUGAGCCCCCCGAGCUGUGGGUCCCCUCUGCCAUCGGUUGGACCCAGUGCCACCACUGCGGUCCCCAGCAGCGAUGCUGCUCUGCGCCCCUCCCCAGCGCCCUUUGGCAUCUGACCUUCUGUUGCACCGGGGUUUGAGUAAUGGUUCAAGCUCCAGACUCUGGUUAAUUGGAGUUCCACUUUCUGGUUAAUGUGUAAGCUCUGGGUAAACUGGUUGCUAUUGGCUGAUGGGAGAAUUAUCUCCUCUCAUAAAGACAGGGGUUCUUUAUUUAUUCUUUAAUUCUUCUCCCAUCUCCCCUGGCUGAGCCCGUACUGACGCACAGAUUUAUUCGUAAGGGCGCUCAGCUCGGCCAUGUGGAGCUCCUCGAAGGGCUCCUGGAGGGCUCUGUAUGGGGAUGGGGUGAGGCCAGCGGGGCCCUGAGCCCCUGCGUGGGACCACUCCUGGUCCCCGUGCUGCUGCUGAACAGGGUUAGGGCAGGGUUAGGGUGUGAGAUAGGUGAGAGUCGGGGAGCAGCUAGAACAGCGAUAAGGGAAAUCCUUCCUAGAAAUAGACCGAGUGCAAAAGGGAAAAUUCCCAUUGCACGCCCAAGCUGAGAGGGAAGAGCUUUGCGUCUCUCCCAGUUUUGCAUAUUACUGCACGCUGCAAUCUUUCUUUGCAAAUAGGAAACAACGCAGCCUUCGCUGGACUGCGCGUGAGUUUCAGCCCCAAAUGCACCAACUUCCCAACGGGAGGGGAAAAGCAACCAGAAGCAGGCGGCGCUGCUGCUAGCACCGAGUGAGUGUUGGGGCUCUAUCAGUCAUGGCAGGGGAGCGCCCACCUCUGCUGCAGGACUGCUUGCCGAGGACACGCGGAGCCGCUCCGCUCUGAACAACGCUCAUUAAUCAGUGAAUCACCCCUCGCCGGGCUCCGGUUGCCGUCCUGCUCCCCUCGGGGUGCAGAACUGGGGCAGCCGGGUGCUGCCGUCCCGCGGGGUCCGCUCCCAUCGCAGCGCUGCCCCAUCUCGCAGCCCUGCGGUGCGUCCCCAUUCAGUCACCGCGCUACAAAGAACUUCCAUGUGACCGCUGCCGGGAGAUGCCCGCAGCCCCGUGCUGGCCGUAAGCGCUGCACACCCUCCCCCCUCCCCAACCCACCGCGUCCUCCACCUUUAUUUUAAUUAUUUUUCCUAAAACGGAGCAAACCCCUCUGCCCCCCAGCAUCCCCGUGCUCGCGCCUCAGUGUGUUCCCUGCCUGAAAAAAAGCAUCAUCCCGGAGCGCAUCCGAAAGAAGGGGUGGGGGGAGUUCUGCAAGCCCCUCGCCACUUCCCUUUGUCAGAAGGUCCUCUUUGCCCUUUCAGAGCUCAACAAUGUGUGUGCUGAAUCAGAACGCCACGCAGCACUACCCCCUGCGAAACGUGGCAGCAGAUUUGAAGCGCACAAAACGCGCUUUCCCAGCUCCUCUCCUUUCCGAAAGCCUCGGCGCAGCUGUUUCCCUCUGCUCAGUGUGUAGGAAGUUCUCGAUCGAGAAUCAUUCAUAAUUUUAAUACCAAUUUCUAUUUGACAUAAUAUACUAAUAUAAGACACAGAGUGUAGCUGCUUCCUGGAUUUAGGGAGGAAAUGAUGCAUAUAUCAGAAUUAUCUGCUCAGAUGCCAGAAGCACAUCGGUGUCCUUUCAGCAUGUGCUGCGUGGAGAGGAAAUCCUCUAUUUAUUGCUCCCAUCAUCAGAGGAGCUCAAUGGACCCUCUGUCUCUGACACCUGUUCCGACGGACGGAUUGAAAAUUUCACGCAGGAGAGGGGAAAAAAAAAGUGACACGCCACAGUGCUGGGAGCUCAGGUUUUUAGCAAACUUUCUUCCCUCGGUCUUUCAGAAUCACGGAGAUGGGGUUGUGAAGGGCCUGUCUGUUGCAGCUAUGGCGAGUGCCAUGCUUGCUUGGCCGGGACAAGACCCAGUCCUGCUUGCAGUGCCUCUGCUCCUGCUGGAAGCGUGCACUGCACACCGGGAUGCACAGAGCUGAGUGGCUUUUGGGGAGGGAGCCCUCGAGCGCUGUGUGAACACUGCUUAAAUGAUGAAUUCUGGGGAGCUCAGCAGAUAAAAAUCAAUGGAUUAAAGCCCCGCACACCUCGGCGCGUUUCAUUCUUGCCUGCCUGAAAUUGUGGGGGAGGACUGAGAAUAGCGUUUGUCACUCUUGGAGGGCGAAGAGCAUUCAGAUUGGUGAGCUCGAAGCCAGCACGGUGCAAAAAUAGCCCAGGAUGUGACUUAACUUUGCAAGUGCAAAGCAAAGGGCCGGGGCUCGGUGGGCCCUUUGUAGGGAUGGAGACAGCCCUGGCCCCAGCAGGGUCAGCCCGAGCUGGCACAGUGUGACAGCAUCUCAGUGCCCUGAUGCACUCGAUCUUACCGCUCUGAAACAAUCAUUUUCUUCCUACGUUGCUGUACCCACUUUUUUAAAAAGUGUAUUUUUGAUUUCUUUUUAUCCAAAGUCUCUCUUUUAAAUCAGUGCGCUGUGAUGCAGCAGAGGGGUGCCAGCCCUGUGGUCACGGUGUGGGGAUGGGGACAGGGACAAAACUGCCUCCCCCCUGUUCACACUGGAGCGCCGUGGAUGUGCUUUGCUUUGCUUUCUCCCCUGCAAUGCAAUGCAUGGAGGCAUUCGAAGCCAGAGCAGAAGUUCGCUGCAAGUGGUGCUUCUGCGCCGUGCAGAAGAAAAGUUUCCCAGCGAACAAACCGAGGGGUGUCUUUCGAUUUCCAGCAGGGCAGGGAACGCCGUGUCCCUGGUUCCCUCUCCCAGUGGCUGAUUCAGAAAGCACGGUCCUGAGAAGUUUUCUCAGCAGCAUUUCCACCUUCCCGGCAGAAAUGUCGGCGCUGCUCACGUUGGUGGUUACCUGUGCAUCCCGAGCAGCGAGCACAGGCACUCACACUUCUGCCCGACCUUUGGGGUCAGUGCUGUCACAGAUUGGAGCAGCUUGGAAGUCACCUGUGCAGGAGCGAGGUGUCUGUGCAACAGCAUCGCAUCCAUCCUGCUGCCCCCAUCACCUCCCAGGCUGCGGGGGCUGCUCUGUGGGGAGGAUGUGCCUUGCACACGUGCACACACACACACACACACACACACACACACGUGUUGGGGUGCUGCCCCAGCCCUGGGGUCCCACAGUGCCAUGCAGGGGGGGCUGGGAGGGCCAGGGCAGGGCGAGGGCUGGCUUCCUCUGUUUGUUUGUUUGCAUGUUUGUUUGUUUCUAAAUUGUUCCUGGAACAAAAGGGGACUCUGUGCGUAACUAAAGGAUCCAUCCCUGCAUCCCAGGCUUAGCCCCGGUGCGCACCCAGGCGGUUCCAGUUGGCUGACCCUCCCCUAGGUACCCGAGAGAAUCUUCUACAACGGUGAUGUGAAAAUCCCCGUUACCUGAGGUCAGAACAAAAGUCUCCCAGAAGACCUGGAGUGGUGACGUCUGGACCGAGAAGAGAUCACACUGCUUAUAAAACUGCACCAUGAGGAGGCCAAAAGUUUCUUCAGCAGCAGGAGGUAAGCCAGGACUGCUGGCGGGUAUGAGGACCGGAGAGCAAUGCUACAUACAUUCAAGAAGAAGAAAGUGGUGCUUUUGAGGAACAGAGACUUUGGGGCAGCAUCACAGUCCUCUAGAGAAAGCUCAAAGAGAUCUUCAGGUGAAAGCACACCACCCAGCCAGCUGCCUGUUGGGUUUAGCCCUUGGACGUCUGGGGUCUGCACACCAGAGACUGAGAACUCUUGACUUAUCCUAAUUUUCCUCUUUGUGGACUUCUGAUGUGACGGGAAUGGCACCAAAAAUUCAGUGUACCUGCUUUGCCAUAACUUUUCCAUACUGCUAACUUUCCCAGGACUACAUUCCUUUCAAAUUACGGGAACUUAAUUAUGUGAGGCUUAAUUUCAGUUGCUUGGCCAGCUUUAAAAAUAUAUAUUCAAAUUUGGACCUAAGGGGCAGAAUUUGGGGAGCCUCUCUGUCCUUUCACUUUGUGUUAGUGUAAAUGAAGAAACUAUGCCUGUGAAUCUCUGCUUUAUUACACCUCUUCCAAGUCAGUCUCACUUCUGCUGAGACUUCCCAGACUUUCAGCAAUCUAAGAGGGAGAAUGAACUACCCCUAAUAUUAUAGUCUAUGCUUCUGAAACAGUACAAACAAAAGAUAUGUCUCCUGCUUACACAUUUUCUUGUAAAUAAAAUGUGUUGAGACCAGA